UCUUAUCCAAUAAUGUUCGUGUUUUUUUUCAUGUAUCUAUUUUUUUGUGUGAUACAAUUGCAGGAGCUAUGGUUUUUUGUUGUAGGUAGUUUAAUGAUUAUAAUGGUUGCCAUUGGUGUUCUUCUCAAGGGGUAAAAGUUAAAAAAAGGUAGGAGGUCUUGUAUGACUUAUCCAUUUUCUGAUGUUAAUGGGAGUUGUAGAAACCAUACAGAUUUUUUUUUGGAUUAAUGUGAUUAAAGGGUUUUUAGAUUUUUCUACAUUUGUAAGAGUACCUAAUUUUAAUUGUGAAAAUGAAACAGUUGUUAAUAAUCUGCACUGUAUUGAGCUUGGUGUUAUGAAAGCUAUGUUUUCUUUCUGAUUUGAUAGUUAUUAUUCUGGUUAUAUUUUUUCUAUUAGAAGACACUGUACUGUUGUAAAUAAUCUUUUAUCUGCAAUCAGUGUGCCAAGCAAUAUAAGACAGACUCGAUGAUCAAUAAGUUGUAUAAAGCAUUGGAAAGGAUAAAAGUGAUAAAAUGCUAUUGGUUGGAAAUUGAUAAAUUAAUAAAAAAUGAUUGAUUCUAAUUGCGCGAAAAUAUGUUGAUUUUGGAUACUGCCUCUACCAUUAACAAAUUAAAAAUAAAAGAAGCACUUCAUAUUAAAUGGGAAAAUCCUAAAUAUAAAUUUAUCUAACUAACUUACUACAUUAUUAUUGUUAUUUUAAUAUUAGGAGCUCUAAAGACCCAAACCGAAAAGAAUGCCUAAAGUGGUUUUCAAAAGAUGAAUUGACGAAUUUCUUAAUUCUUUUUGUUUCGUUGUGAUAAUUUGUCGUAUGAGAACGCUAACGAGAAAAAACUUUUUAAAUAUAGAAACAUGCGUAAUAUAAAGUUUACUUAUGCCUAUAAAAAAAUAUGUUUUACAUUAAUUAAUAAAUUAACUUUUUAGUUUCUUGUUAAAAAUUGUAUUCUGUAUUGAAGUUUAUUUCUGAGAAUUUGUAAUUAUACCUAAGAUAAUCUAAUCCUACAUUGUAUUUUAAUUUAUAAAACUCGAUAUUUUAAAAUAAAUAUAUUACUUUUUUAUCGCG